CUAGGUAUUAGAAAAUGGAAAGGCAGGUGACGAAACAAAAGCUUAAUGUUGCUCGUAACUUAGUCAUUAUAUAUAUGUAUAUAUAUAGUGAAAUAGCAUUUUCAUUACCUACAUUGUGAUUGUUUGAAACAUUAUAUUGUGAUAUAGUGAAUCGAUUUAAGAAUAAGAAGAAGAAGAAGAAAGUGAUCGUGGGAUUAGAGAUGCCUCCACCACCGGGAUUCAAUGGUGGGCCUGGAGGCCCAUUUGGUUGUUUGGGCUCUCUCUGUAGUGGUAUAUGCAGGCUUAUUUCUUCCUGUGCUUAUUUCCUGUGCUGUUGCUGCCUCCUAGAGAGCUGCUGUGGGCCUAUGUUUGGUGGGCCUGGUGGCCCACCAGGCCCACAGGGUCCUUUUGGUGGGCCUCGCUUCUGAUGGGCUUGGUGAUGAUGAUGCUCAAAUUCGGUCUACAAACAACUAUCAUGUAAUAAACACAAUCUGCUCUGCUUUUAUGGUAUUGAAUGUGUUAAACUUUAUGUAUUAGUGUGUUUAAAAUUUAUAUAUUGAUAUAUUUGUGUCUA